CCGGUACUGUUGGCACCCAGGCUGCCCCAGAGCACAGAGGACACCAGGACCCUGGCUGGAGGUUGAAACGUACUCCUUUGGAGAAUCAUCUGGCCUCCUCAGACUGGAUCCUCUGCAGUUCUGGCCAAUGAGAUGGAGGCUGAGGCCAACUGGUACAACUGUAGGAAAGGUUUUGCUUUCCCUGAUAAAAGGAGCAAAGGUAGCUGAUGCCCUUGUGCUCUUUAUUCAUGCCUUGAACAUGGAUGUGAUGCCUGGAGUCAUGGCAGCCACCUUGUGAUCUGACGGAGAGGCCAAGAGAAGCACAGACAGUGACCUGGAAUGACCUGAGCUUUGGAACUGACUCCCACCUCCCAGACUUCUUUUUGUAUGGGAAAAUUAAACCCUGUUUGUUUACA